AUCUGACAGACAGCAAUUGAUGUGCGCCGAUCGAUAUCACCGAACGAUCUGUCGAUCCAUCCCACGUCCCACCCGUCCAACGGACUUGGGAAUUCCUAAGUUUAUGAACGGCAGAUGUGGGGCGGACCGACUCCAGAAUGAGUAACAUCGCGGAUCAUUUAACUGAUACGAAACGUGAUAACGUUGAGAUAAAUCGGAUUGGGAAUGGAUGUUUUCGCGAUGUUUAUCUAGUAAGUAAAAUCUACAUCAUAUUAUAAUUAUUCGGCCAACCAAAAAUAUAGAUAUGGCAAAAGCGAUGUCGCACGGCGACGGCAUUAUGCGUAGCGUUAUGCAUGGCAGCGAGAAUAAUAAUAAUAAUAAUAAACUAAAGGAGCGGUCCUCACGGUUAAAGAUCCGCCUGUGGCACACAGACUGCAGUCCCGGCAGAGAGAAUAGAUUUUAAUGAUUAUAUAACUUGCUUAAAAUAUAAUAAAAAAUAAUAGGAUUUUCAAAUUAAAAAAAAACGUAAAAUUUAUUUAUUAUUAGAAAAAAUAACAUUCUUCGGAAAAAGUUUAUUUAAUAUUUUAGAUCUUAAUAAAAACAGUUCAAUACAUAGGGAAAGAUAAAUAGGUUGUUAAAUUAGAUUGUUAAAUUAAAAUAGGUUAUUUAAUUAGGUUGUUAAAUUGAAAUUGUCUAAAUACAAGGGGGUAAUCACUCAGAACAUAAAUGUACACUGAAGUACGGACUACAAUGGACUUCAUCAAACUUUCGCCGGAAAACAAUGGAAUUUACUGCAAUUACUAAGAGAUAUCCCUAAAAAAGGGUCAUCAAAAAUCUUUGUCUAAUAACUGAUUAACUGACCAAAAAUUCAUAAUGACAACCAAAAUUUCAUGACAUAACACAAAAAAAUUUAUCAAAUUAUAACGGACUUUAUCAGACUACGACGGACUUCACCGGACUUAAUCGACUUCGAGGAAUUCAAUAAACUUCAAAGGACUUCUAACAGAUUGUACACCGGAAUUCAAGAGUGGUUACCACCUAGUCUAAAUACAUAAUAACAAAUAAUAUAAGAAAUAAAAUCAAGAUACAAUUAAAACAUUGUUAUUUCGAAAAUGACAAUUGACAAAAAUGACAAGAAAUAUCGAUAUAAGAAAUAUAAAAAUGUACAUUAAAAGUUUAUUUUAGAUAUAACAAGUUACUAUACAUUACAUAAUUUUUACUGUAUCAUAAAGAGCCAAUUUCAACAAUUUUACAGUAUACCUAUUUAAUAGAUUAAUAAACCGGUUUUACAAAGAAUAAAAUGAAACGUGAGAUAAUAUAAAUACUAUAAAUAGUAUAAAUUUAGAAUUAAGUACAAAGGCUAAUGAGAGUAGGGCGAGGUUAGUAAUGAAUAAAAAAAACACAUAAGACAUAAAGAAAAAUUACUUGUAUAUUCAACAAAAAUUCAAACGUAAACUCUGCUUCGGAGUCAUAACCAACUAAAUAACAGAUAACAUAGUUAAAUUAAAAUAUCUGAUCAUCCUUAGUACUUAAUUAUAAAUUUUAUAAAAUUCGAGAUUCUAUUACUAAAUAUAUUUGUUUAUAUAAACUGUGUUCC